CUUCGGGUUGUAAACCUCUUUCGACAGGGACGAAGCGAGAGUGACGGUACCUGUAGAAGAAGCACCGGCCAACUACGUGCCAGCAGCCGCGGUAAUACGUAGGGUGCGAGCGUUGUCCGGAAUUACUGGGCGUAAAGAGCUUGUAGGCGGUCUGUCGCGUCUUCUGUGAAAACUUGGGGCUCAACCUUAAGCUUGCAGGGGAUACGGGCAGACUAGAGUACUUCAGGGGAGACUGGAAUUCCUGGUGUAGCGGUGAAAUGCGCAGAUAUCAGGAGGAACACCGGUGGCGAAGGCGGGUCUCUGGGAAGUAACUGACGCUGAGAAGCGAAAGCGUGGGUAGCGAACAGGAUUAGAUACCCUGGUAGUCCACGCCGUAAACGGUGGGUACUAGGUGUGGGUUUCCUUCCACGGGAUCCGUGCCGUAGCUAACGCAUUAAGUACCC
rnacentral:rRNA from 1 species